CAUACAGUUGGGUGCAGACCAAGCAUUACAUAAAGUAAACGCAAGUUAACGCGGCGUGCACAUUUUUCGUUAGUUAACUAUAAAUUUCGCGUUUACUAGUAAACGCCCGUUUACUUCAUUUACGUUAACGCGGUCAAAACGGAAAUUUCUAAUGUCUACUCGAGUAAACGCGCGUUUACUAUGUGUCCGUUUAGUCAGUAGUAAACGUCCGUUUACUUCAGAUUUCACAAGUUUAAUUUUACGUGCACGUAAAAGUAAACGGGCGUUUACUACAGAUUUCUCAAUUGUAUUUUUAUGCGCACUUGAAAGUAAACAGGCGUUUACUUUUCGCGUUAACUAAUUGUGUAUAUUAUAAAAUAAUCGCCGUGUGCAUUUGUACAUUUAUUUAUGUUGUUAAAAUGACUUAAUAUUUUACGUAUAUGGGUUUUGAACCCUAACAUUAAAAAACACUUUUUAUUAGAAAUAUAAACAUUUAUUAAUUGCAAAAAUAGUCAGUUCCAAAAAUUUUCAACAGCGGAUUUUCUAUUUUUUCUGUUCAAAAUUUACAUGUACAAAUAUCGACUCACAGUUAAACCGGCAUAUUUAAAAAUAAAUAUGCCAAAAUUAAAUAUUCCAAAACUUAAUAUCCUCUCACGAAUGUAAACUGAAAGUCUUGUAGGUUUUACAGUUCCAGGAAGAAUUUCCAUUUUGUUCUUAUAUGCAAUGAUUAAUUUUCAAUAAAUUAAUUAAAGAGGUCUCAUUUCAUUAAAUGCAAUUGCCAAUAUGUUGAUCGAAAAUGGACAGAUGGAUAUUUUAAUGUACCUUAUCAUGUGAUAUAUUAGGUCAGUGUAUCCAGGAUACGAGGACAAUCUGCGUUAACGCGCGUUUACUACAAACAGUAAACGGGCGUUUACUUUUUUUAAAAGAUAGAAGACACGCCUUUUUCGCGUUAACGCGAAGUAAACGCGAAAGUAAACGCCCGUUUACUCUUUACAAGAUCAGAAGACGCGCGGUUUUCGCGUUAACGCGGAGGUAAACGCGAAAGUAAACGCCCGUUUACUAUUUAUGUCUACUAAAAUUUCGGAGUUAACGCAGAGUUAACGUGACGUUUACAUGAAGUGCACGCGAGUAAACGCCGCGUUCACUUUUUAGGCCCGUUUACAUGUAAUGCUUGGUCUGCACCCAACUGUACCAAU
rnacentral:lncRNA from 1 species